rnacentral:rRNA from 1 species
CCUACGGGAGGCAGCAGUGAGGAAUAUUGCUCAAUGGGCGCGAGCCUGAACCAGCCAAGUAGCGUGAAGGAUGACUGCCCUACGGGUUGUACACUUCUUUUAUAAAGGAAUAAAGUGAGGCACGUGUGCCUUUUUGUAUGUACUUUAUGAGUAAGGAUCGGCUAACUACGUGCCAGCAGCCGCGGUAAUCCGGAGGAUCCGAGCGUUAUCCGGGUUUAUUGGGUUUAAAGGGAGCGUAGAUGGGUUGUUAAGUCAGUUGUGAAAGUGUGCGGCUCAACCGUAAAAUUGCAAUUGAUACGGGCAGUCUUGAGUACAGUUGAGGUAGGCGGAAUUCGUGGUGUAGCGGUGAAAUGCUUAGAUAUCACGAAGAACUCCGAUUGCGAAGGCAGCUUACUAAACUGCCACUGACAUUGAUGCUCGAAAGUGUGGGUAUCAAACAGGAUUAGAUACCCGGGUAGGC